CCUACGGGUGGCUGCAGUGGGGAAUAUUGGACAAUGGGGGCAACCCUGAUCCAGCCAUGCCGCGUGUGUGAAGAAGGCCCUCGGGUUGUAAAGCACUUUCAGUGAGGAAGAACGCCUGGUGGUUAAUACCCAUCAGGAAAGACAUCACUCACAGAAGAAGCACCGGCUAACUCCGUGCCAGCAGCCGCGGUAAUACGGAGGGUGCGAGCGUUAAUCGGAAUUACUGGGCGUAAAGCGCGCGUAGGUGGCUUGAUAAGCCGGUUGUGAAAGCCCCGGGCUCAACCUGGGAACGGCAUCCGGAACUGUCAAGCUAGAGUGCAGGAGAGGAAGGUAGAAUUCCCGGUGUAGCGGUGAAAUGCGUAGAGAUCGGGAGGAAUACCAGUGGCGAAGGCGGCCUUCUGGACUGACACUGACACUGAGGUGCGAAAGCGUGGGUAGCAAACAGGAUUAGAUCCCCAGUAGUC
rnacentral:rRNA from 1 species